rnacentral:rRNA from 1 species
UACAGAGGUCUCGAGCGUUGUUCGGAUUCAUUGGGCGUAAAGAGCGUGUAGGCGGCCAGGUAGGUCUGCUGUGAAAACUCGAGGCUUAACCUCGAGCUGUCGGCGGAAACCAUCUGGCUAGAGUCCGGAAGAGGAGAAUGGAAUUCCCGGUGUAGCGGUGAAAUGCGCAGAUAUCGGGAGGAACACCGGUGGCGAAGGCGGCAUCCUGGACCAACACUGACGCUGAGGAGCGAAAGCCAGGGGAGCAAACGGG